UAGUAUAGAGCCUUGGGGAACGCCACAGUUAAUUACUUUAGUAGAAGAGAAUUGGCCAUUAAGAUACACAACUUGAGGCCUGUUAGACAAGUAGCUACGAAUAAGAUUUAAAGGUGGGCCAGUAAUACCAAAAGAUUCGAGCUUAUACAGAAGAAUAGAAUGAUCUAGAGUGUCAAAUGCUUUUGUUAGAUCGAUGAAUAUGGCUCCUGCAACAAACCCUUCAUCAAUAAAGCUUUUAAUGUUAUCCGUGAAGUUAAUUAAUGCCAAUUCUGUCGAAUAAUUCUGCCUAAAACCAAAUUGGAUUGGAGAAAGAAGAUUAAAUUUAUUGAGAUAGUGCAUUAGACGAGUGUAAAUAGGUUUUUCAAUGGCCUUACUAAAAAACGGCAAAAUGCAAAUUGGGCGGUAGUUAUUAAUGCUUUCACGAGAACCCUUUUUGAACACAGGAAUUACUUUACCCUGUUUCAUCAAAUCAGGAAAUAUGCCUGUGCUAAAAAUUUUGUUAACGAUACCUGCAAAAACAAAUGAUAUGUCUGCCGCAACCAGUUUUAUUCUACAAGGCUGAACAGAAUCUAGGCCAGGUCCAGUAACAUUAAGAGAAGAAAUUACCUUUAAAACUUCUUCGGAAGAAACCGGUCGAAGAAAAAAUGACUGAGGGCAACGUGGGAGAUGGCGUAAAACACUAGGCGAUAGCGUGUUCUGGCAAGUGGUAAAAUGAUCACUAAAAGCAUUUAAUAUGUCAGCCUCGGUUGUGCAUUCCUCGUUGUGGUCGAAGAUGGUCGAACAGUGGUCGAAGAUGCUGGUGCAAAUGUUUCGACAGGGGAGCAUGCCUUCAUUCCCAAUGGGGGAGAAUUAGCUGGUAAGACAUUUGCCAAGUGACGUACCGACGAGCGUAUGGUAGGCGCUGGCAGAGAGGCAGGAGUCUAAAAAGCGUUUUAAAAUUCGGUUUCGUAAGGUUAGUUUCGCCGCAGUACAAAUAUGUUGAGCGGUUAGACAUACAGAUUGUUUUGCGGUGAAGCAUAGCAGGGCUGCCUGGCCUUUGAUGCAAACAGCUUCAGAGGCAUGCUGAUCCCAUGGCUAGUUAUGCAGUUCCACGCGUGCGAGUAAGCACCCCGCGUUCGGUAGUCUCCCAGUGACAUAAAAAUGACAUUUACUGACUGUGUUGUAAAUGGGUGACGGCACUGCUGGUGCAAAAGUGUCUUUUCGCUUUCGAAACUGCGCUCGGCUAAUAAGAAGAUCUUGACUUGCAUAGGAACAAAGCAGUUGGACAGGAACCUACGAAAUUACGUAGUUAUUAUCGAAGAAAUGAACAGUUCAGAAAAAAAUGACCGUGUUAGCAUUGGUUUACGAGGUCGACAAAACGAUUCAAAGCGUCACAACCACGUGCGAAAUAGCUCUGAAGGCCUGCCAGUACACUUAUUUGGCGCUUCGGUGCGCGUAAUGUAACAGGAGACAGCAGGUGCACGCGUACAUCAUUAAGGAACACAUAUUAUGUAUGUCGCGUGAAAGCAGUCACUGUUCGCUUCUGACAUGCUUCACUGCAACACUGUUGGGUUCGCUUCACCGCGUAACACAAGUCUACUGCGGCGAAACUGACUUUAGGACAUCGAUUUAUUUAACUUCUCUAGCGAGGCAGGUCCGUUUAUCACGCUUGGCAACGUUAGACCACAUCUUAUGCAUUAAUUUCGUUUGCUAUUUUUAGUUUUCUUAUAAUAGUGACCCUGUAUAACGCAGUAGCAGAGCUGGUGCCGUGCCGUUAGGAAAGGUAAGCGUGUAUGCAGCAGGCACGGCGGCAUUGGCUCUUGUUGGGAAACUUCAAAAGACGCUCUUCCGCGCGGCGAUGCCAUUUGUAUUAUUAAAAGAAUGCAGGUGAUGAUUAGAUGAGCCGCGGCAAAGCUGUAAAAAGCAGUAGUAAUGCUGUUGUAAGAUCCUCUCGCUCGAGCGAGAUGGACUUAGAAAAAAAGCGCGAUGUAACACGAUCUGACGGAAUAGCUCGUCAUGCCAGUGUUUCCUUACGUCCUCGUUCUUUCGCGCAUCCUCCCCUGAACCAGACUACUGAAUGGUUCUGCGAACGCACUGACUAUCCUGACGGAGGCAAUACCACUCACAUAGCAGCUCUGUAAGAUGCCACGGCCCAUUCCACAUCCCGCCUGCAAUUUGACGCGGCCAGGAGGCAAAAUAUGCGCGCAAGAUACCUAACGGUAACGCAUCAAACAGCUCACAGCCCCACGCUUUUAUUACACGCAUAUAGUUUGGAAAGGUGAAUUACUCACGCUGUAAGUGGGCACGGAAUACGGACCGCUUCGCAGCGCAACCGGUCCCGUAAGACAGACGCCAUGGAAAUGAACGGAUGUGACAUCAUGGGUUAUAGCGGACGUGACGCCAUGGGUGAACGUAGACAUUUUGGGCACCUUUCAUCUGCUGUGCCCCGGGUACAGCAGACACGGCCUACCACUCACAUGAGCAGCUCCAUUAAGAUGCCACGGCCCAUUCCACAUGCCGGCUGCAAUUUGACGCGGCCAGGAGGCAAAAUAUGCGCACAAGGUACCCAAUGGUAACGCAUCAAACAGCUCACAGCCCCAAUCCUUUAUUACACAUAUAGCGUGGAAAGAUGAAUUACUCACGCUCUAAGUGGGCACAGAAUACGGACCGCUUCGCAGCGCGGCCGGCUACAUGGUAAUGAGCGGAUGUGACAUCAUGGGUUAUAGCGGACGUGACGUCAUAGAUGAAUGUACACCUUUCGUCUGCUGUGCCCCGGUCACAGCAGACAUGAGAGUAGGCCUAGUGGCGGUGCGGCAGUGCGGCUUUGGCCUCGGUGAGCUCUGGCACUACAGAAUCUGCGUUGUGUGACCCGUGCUUUUUUGAGAACCCGACGGUGGUGACAAUUGAAAUAUCGAAGUGGCCUAGCGCCUCGGCAGCGAAGUUCUGCGAACCGCGAUGUGGCGUCGCCGUGUCCGACUUUGCUUAACGGACAUCGAGGGAUGUGCUUGUGCUGUUCGCUGCAAGUCAUGUAAAUGCAACUGCGUCGACCGCCCACUGUUCAGCACUGAAUGUGUGUUUGGUGUGCUGUGCUUGAAACGAGUGGUGCAGCCAUGCAGCGGGGGUGGCGGAGGAGCAGAGUGGCUUAGGGUUUGCGCGUUCACAGACAUGUGCUCCCGUCUUGGUCUCAUUAGCGGCUGUCGCGGGAUUGUGAUGUGCAAGCUGCUUGCCUAGUAUGAAGUUUACGACGCUAACACGCAGCAUGUUCACGUUUUUCCGCGCUAUAUGUCAUUUGCAUGACGGCCGAGUUGAACACGAGACAUAUCUCUGUGUUCUUCGCGUUUGUGUGUUGUAAAUUACUUUCUAUUCUGGAAGUUCUUGGAGUCUUAUUACGCAAGGAGUGCGAACGUAAACAUAAACACAUGUGUGUCUCUGAAAUGUUAAAUUACCCAUAAUACCCUUCACGACUGAUAAGUGAGCUACGCGGCCUGUGUGAAUCAGCUACCGUAUGUUGCGACGCUCUUCCGUGUGGUAGACUGAUGCAUGGUGCGCGUUUAUUUCUGUACUGUUGUAAAAACCAUUUGUUUAUCCACUCAAUACAAAUGUGCGGCUUCUUCGCCGCAGUACAUUUUAGUUACGCGGUGAAGCAUACUAAAAGUGGGAAGGGGCCGCUACAGCCAGCAUAGUAUUUCCACUUAGGCGACCUAAAGCGCCGGGUGCUCGAGCGUAUGAUUAAAGAACUCUAAUUAUGUCCAGUGACAGUGGCCCCUUUCCACUUUUACUAUGCUUCACCGCAGUACAUUGCUUAGGCUUCACCGCGAAAUAUUAGUGUAUUGCGAGAAAGAUAAUCAUAAAAAACCUAAUCAUGCAACGUUUCUUUUGUAGCUUGCUACACUGCAAUACAGGGGUGUAAAUAAUAAUCGUGCAGUAAAGCAUACUAAGAGUGGAAAGGGCACAUAGGUUUACACUGUGCUCAUUAUUUGCAAUUGUGACGUAAUUUGCAAGUGCGCCUGUGCUCGUGGUAAGCUUCAUUGACAAUUCUUUGUACAUUACAAAUUUAUAUUGCAGGGAAGCUUACUAAAGCACAUUCGCCAUUAUGGUACGUGUUAUUCACCUUCAAUGCAGGAGCACAAUGCGGAUUCUUGCCCCUGCUUUUGGCUGGACUGCACAUGCUCUUUGAGAAUAGAUUCAUUUCAUUGAUUCAUUCUUUGAUUAAGCAUGAGACCUAGUAAUGGGUAGCCCAAAUAUAGAUUUGAGAAAACCAAAACGAAUUCAGCAGUAAGAAGCUAAAGGGUUGUUUUGCUGUAGACCAGUGGCCAAGUCCGGAUAUGAAAGAGGAGGAAGAAAAGCCGAGUCUUUUCACUUCAACACUGGGCGGCACAACUCCCACAAAUAAAUACGACUCUUACUUAUUUGACUUUUUUUAAGAUUACCGAGAGGUCCCUCAUGAUGUUUCACAUUACGAGUGAAACUGCAAUUUUCUUUAUGCCACAACUUGCCCAGUUUUGUGUUUUGCAGUAGGAUGUUAGCAGUGCUAUUAAGGCACUUAAAUACUCGUGAAUAGUAGUAGAGAAAAAAAAGUAGGAAAGCAGUGGCUUUUUGUACGUAGACUGUGCAUACACCUGGCGCCCUUAUGGUCAUUUUUUCCCAAUCUGCUGAACCAUUCUAAACAAGUCUAUACACAAUUAGUUUAUACGCAGACCACAACUAAACCACAGGUAUCGUUGGUAAGCAAAGUAUAUUUAUUCGGUGACAUCUUCUGCAGCCCUGCUAGUGGGCUUUAAUUCCUUCCUUUUCAGCUGUGCAGGUUCAUUAAGAAGUGAUGAGACAGUUUGAAAAUUUUAUUCGUUGAAACACUUGGUGAAACCUUUUUCGGGUUUUUUCUUGGUUUCAGACUCUGCACACUGCAUUUUAAGGCGUGAUUUCUGUGUUGCUUUUUCUUUAUGGUGUCAGAUAUGGGGCUGUUUCCUGUGCCUACUUCGAGUUCCCCAGACCACAUCAAAUCGCAGCACAGCUAAUUGAGAAGCGCAGAAACACGGAAAGCACAUUCCAGAGAGCCCAGAGCAUUCCCGGAUUCAUCUCUCUCGAACUUCUUGCCGCGGGCCGCAGCGUCCGAGUUGCUGCCGGCCCGUAAUGACUGUACGGCUGUUACUAGACUCUCAUCUCACUGUAAAUAAUGUAAAAUAAACCUCCCAAGUUUUUUUCA